rnacentral:tRNA from 1 species
GCCCGGAUAGCUCAGUCGGUAGAGCAGGGGAUUGAAAAUCCCCGUGUCCCUGGUUCGAUUCCGAGUCCGGGCACCA